GUGUGGACGAAACGCACGUCUGGCGUAUUAAAUUUUAAACCUGGUUCCUUUUUUCAGCUAUUAUUCGUGUGUUUCUCUGUCCUAUAUGUUCCCCCCAUUUAUUUGUAUUGUAGUCCUGUCAUGUAAUGUUGUGAUUUUAAUGUUAUAUUUAACAUUGCCAUAAAAGCGGGAGGUUUGGCUAGCCACAAAACCAGGUUCAACCACCAUUUUUUCUGAAAAUGUCCUGUACCAAGUCAGGAAAAUGGCCAUUGUUAUAUUAUAGUUCGUUUAUGUGUUUGUUACAUUUUAAUGUUGUGUUUCUG
rnacentral:lncRNA from 1 species